AGGGGGCUAGCGUUGUUCGGAAUUACUGGGCGUAAAGCGCAUGUAGGCGGACAUUUAAGUCAGGGGUGAAAUCCCGGGGCUCAACCUCGGAACUGCCUUUGAUACUGGUAGACUUGAGUGUGGUAGAGGUAAGUGGAAUUCCGAGUGUAGAGGUGAAAUUCGUAGAUAUUCGGAGGAACACCAGUGGCGAAGGCGGCUUACUGGUCCAUUACUGACGCUGAGGUGCGAAAGC
rnacentral:rRNA from 1 species